AUUGAACGCUGGCGGCAUGCUUUACACAUGCAAGUCGAACGGUAACAGGCCUUCGGGUGCUGACGAGUGGCGAACGGGUGAGUAAUGCAUCGGAACGUGCCCAAUCGUGGGGGAUAACGUAGCGAAAGUUACGCUAAUACCGCAUAAGCCCUGAGGGGGAAAGCAGGGGAUCGCAAGACCUUGCGCGAAUGGAGCGGCCGAUGUCAGAUUAGCUAGUUGGUGGGGUAAAGGCCUACCAAGGCGACGAUCUGUAGCGGGUCUGAGAGGAUGAUCCGCCACACUGGGACUGAGACACGGCCCAGACUCCUACGGGAGGCAGCAGUGGGGAAUUUUGGACAAUGGGCGCAAGCCUGAUCCAGCCAUGCCGCGUGCGGGACGAAGG
rnacentral:rRNA from 1 species